rnacentral:lncRNA from 1 species
CUCAUCCCAAGGAGCUUGAGCCCCGCUCACAACCUCUUCCAGCUGCAGGAGGUGAUGGAGACCCGGAGGAGGGAAAGGGGAGGUGAAGGAAGGAGAGUCACGGCGCCAGGCAAGGCCUGCCUGUAGGGGGCGCAGUGCCGGCCUUGCAGAUUUCAGGGCCCUCACCUGCAGGCGGGAGGAAGCUGGCAGCCAGGGACAAGGGACCCGGUACACUGCCAAACAGACAAGCCCCGUGGCCUGUCGUGAGGGACCCAGAAUGAGGUGGCCAGGGGACUCACCCAGCGGAAGUGUGCUCAGAGGGAAGAGAUAGAAAGAGUUCAGCCAAGUUCCCCAGACUGCCCUGCAGAGAUGCUUCCACUGAGGAUGUGAACACUGCAGUGUGUGUGUGUGUGUGUGUGUGUGUGUGUCCAGAAACAAGAAAGGGACAAUAUAGCCCCCCUUCAAAUAGAGACCACUCUGCCACAACCUCCAGCCUCACCUCCACUACAGGGAUGCAGGGGGAGGUGUGCUCAUCGGCCGACAGGGAAGCCCCCGUCCACGCGCUUGCCCCCCCGCCCCGGGGCUGACUCCCCCCAAAGACCAGGCUGGGGAGAGAAAACUUCAGGCAGAAGCACAGCCCACCUCCUCUGAGCGCCCAAUGCCCAGCCUGGGAUGUGGCUGAGCGUCAGUCUCCUGCUGUCAGCCACGGCCAGCGCCCCCUGCUGCCCAUCCUGAGCGGUACACACUCAGAGAGCACGGAGGAGAGGGAGAAAGCAGGGAAUCCAGGCAUGAAGCUGACUUGGCCAGGAGGAUGGGAGGGGAGGCAGAGAGUUAUUGAGUACCUGCCAGCUGCCCAAUACAGGACAAAAGGAGGAGCUAGAGAUGAGUCACAUGCUUGGAAUCCAGCCAGGAUGGAACCAGGCAGGACCCUGUGAAGCCCUCCCAAGGACAAGAGCUUUUCCACGUCCCCCCCCGCUUUUUUAAAUUUUUUUAUAUGUAAUUCAUUUUUAUUAUGGUUGAUUUACAAUGUUCUGACAAUUUCUGCUGUACAGCAAAGAGACCCC